AGUGAACGCUGGCGGCAGGCCUAACACAUGCAAGUCGAACGGCAGCACAGUAAUAGCUUGUUCUUACGGGUGGCGAGUGGCGGACGGGUGAUGAAUACCUCCGAAUCUACUUUUUCGUGGGGGAUAACGCAGGGAAUAUUACGCCAAUACCGCAUACGACCUACGGGUGAAAUCAUGGGAUCUUCCGCCCUUGCGUGAUCGAAUGAGCCGAUGUCGGAUUAGCUAGUUGGCGGGGUAAAGGCCCACCAAGGCGACGAUCCGUAGCUGGUCUGAGAGGAUGAUCAGCCACACUGGAACUGAGACACGGUCCAGACUCCUACGGGAGGCAGCAGUGGGGAAUAUUGGACAAUGGGCGAAAGCCUGAUCCAGCCAUACCGCGUGGGUGAAGAAGGCCUUCGGGUUGUAAAGCCCUUUUGUUGGGAAAGAAAAGCAGCAGGUUAAUACCCCGCUGUUCUGACGGUACCCAAAGAAUAAGCACCGGCUAACUUCGUG
rnacentral:rRNA from 1 species